CGCGGCCUAUCAGCUUGUUGGUGGGGUGAUGGCCUACCAAGGCUUCGACGGGUAGCCGGCCUGAGAGGGUGUCCGGCCACACUGGGACUGAGAUACGGCCCAGACUCCUACGGGAGGCAGCAGUGGGGAAUAUUGCACAAUGGGCGCAAGCCUGAUGCAGCGACGCCGCGUGGGGGAUGACGGCCUUCGGGUUGUAAACCUCUUUCACCAUUGACGAAGCCGCAAGGUGACGGUAGGUGGAGAAGAAGCACCGGCCAACUACGUGCCAGCAGCCGCGGUAAUACGUAGGGUGCGAGCGUUGUCCGGAAUUACUGGGCGUAAAGGGCUUGUAGGUGGUUUGUCGCGUUGUUCGUGAAAUGCCACAGCUUAACUGUGGGCGUGCGGGCGAUACGGGCAGACUGGAGUACUGCAGGGGAGACUGGAAUUCCUGGUGUAGCGGUGGAAUGCGCAGAUAUCAGGAGGAACACCGGUGGCGAAGGCGGGUCUCUGGGCAGUAACUGACGCUGAGGAGCGAAAGCGUGGGGAGCGAACAGGAUUAGAUACCCUGGUAGUCCACGCCGUAAACGGUGGGUACUAGGGUGUGGGUUUCCCUCCUUGGGAUCCGUGCCGUAGCUAACGCAUUAAGUACCCCGCCUGGGGAGUACGG
rnacentral:rRNA from 1 species